GAUGAACGCUGGCGGCGUGCUUAACACAUGCAAGUCGAACGAUGAAGCCCAGCUUGCUGGGUGGAUUAGUGGCGAACGGGUGAGUAACACGUGAGUAACCUGCCCUUGACUCUGGGAUAAGCCUGGGAAACUGGGUCUAAUACUGGAUAUGACUUCUCAUCGCAUGGUGGGGGGUGGAAAGAUUUAUUGGUCUUGGAUGGACUCGCGGCCUAUCAGCUUGUUGGUGAGGCAAUGGCUCACCAAGGCGACGACGGGUAGCCGGCCUGAGAGGGUGACCGGCCACACUGGGACUGAGACACGGCCCAGACUCCUACGGGAGGCAGCAGUGGGGAAUAUUGCACAAUGGGCGCAAGCCUGAUGCAGCGACGCCGCGUGAGGGAUGACGGCCUUCGGGUUGUAAACCUCUUUCAGUAGGGAAGAAGCGAGAGUGUCGGUACCUGCAGAAGAAGCGCCGGCUAACUACGUG
rnacentral:rRNA from 1 species